UCUUUGGAGUCUGGCUUUGUUCCCCGAGAAGCCUGUCUCGCAACUCAAUAGAGCUGUUUGUGUUAUUUGGAUCAGAUGUGCAUCCUCCGGCUACCCCCUGUGAGAAGACACCCACCAUCUGAGGUUCCCCAUCAUCCACUGUGAGAAGGAGCCCACCACUCUGGAAAUGUCCAUCAACUGCCUCCAGCAAGAUGGACUCCUGCAUCUUCUCAGCCAGUCACCUUCCCGCCUCAACACCUUGUCUCUGGAAUUGAUUGGCCUGUUGUGCGGGAGAAAUGUUUGGGGUUGUUGGAGAGACAGGUGCACCACGCUAGAAAGAAUAAAAAUGAAGUCAUAAAUCUCAACAGGGAGCUUGCGAGCCCUCUACAGCCUCUGCCCAACAUCUCUCUUCUCCGUGCCUCUCAUCCCCACGUUUAAGCCUCA